rnacentral:rRNA from 1 species
AGAGUUUGAUCAUGGCUCAGAUUGAACGCUGGCGGCAGGCCUAACACAUGCAAGUCGAGCGGUAGCACAGAGAGCUUGCUCUCGGGUGACGAGCGGCGGACGGGUGAGUAAUGUCUGGGAAACUGCCUGAUGGAGGGGGAUAACUACUGGAAACGGUAGCUAAUACCGCAUAAUGUCGCAAGACCAAAGUGGGGGACCUUCGGGCCUCAUGCCAUCAGAUGUGCCCAGAUGGGAUUAGCUAGUAGGUGGGGUAACGGCUCACCUAGGCGACGAUCCCUAGCUGGUCUGAGAGGAUGACCAGCCACACUGGAACUGAGACACGGUCCAGACUCCUACGGGAGGCAGCAGUGGGGAAUAUUGCACAAUGGGCGCAAGCCUGAUGCAGCCAUGCCGCGUGUGUGAAGAAGGCCUUCGGGUUGUAAAGCACUUUCAGCGGGGAGGAAGGCGAUAAGGUUAAUAACCUUGUCGAUUGACGUUACCCGCAGAAGAAGCACCGGCUAACUCCGUGCCAGCAGCCGCGGUAAUACGGAGGGUGCAAGCGUUAAUCGGAAUUACUGGGCGUAAAGCGCACGCAGGCGGUCUGUCAAGUCGGAUGUGAAAUCCCCGGGCUUAACCUGGGAACUGCAUUCGAAACUGGCAGGCUAGAGUCUUGUAGAGGGGGGUAGAAUUCCAGGUGUAGCGGUGAAAUGCGUAGAGAUCUGGAGGAAUACCGGUGGCGAAGGCGGCCCCCUGGACAAAGACUGACGCUCAGGUGCGAAAGCGUGGGGAGCAAACAGGAUUAGAUACCCUGGUAGUCCACGCCGUAAACGAUGUCGAUUUGGAGGUUGUGCCCUUGAGGCGUGGCUUCCGGAGCUAACGCGUUAAAUCGACCGCCUGGGGAGUACGGCCGCAAGGUUAAAACUCAAAUGAAUUGACGGGGGCCCGCACAAGCGGUGGAGCAUGUGGUUUAAUUCGAUGCAACGCGAAGAACCUUACCUGGUCUUGACAUCCACAGAACUUAGCAGAGAUGCUUUGGUGCCUUCGGGAACUGUGAGACAGGUGCUGCAUGGCUGUCGUCAGCUCGUGUUGUGAAAUGUUGGGUUAAGUCCCGCAACGAGCGCAACCCUUAUCCUUUGUUGCCAGCGGUCCGGCCGGGAACUCAAAGGAGACUGCCAGUGAUAAACUGGAGGAAGGUGGGGAUGACGUCAAGUCAUCAUGGCCCUUACGACCAGGGCUACACACGUGCUACAAUGGCAUAUACAAAGAGAAGCGACCUCGCGAGAGCAAGCGGACCUCAUAAAGUAUGUCGUAGUCCGGAUUGGAGUCUGCAACUCGACUCCAUGAAGUCGGAAUCGCUAGUAAUCGUAGAUCAGAAUGCUACGGUGAAUACGUUCCCGGGCCUUGUACACACCGCCCGUCACACCAUGGGAGUGGGUUGCAAAAGAAGUAGGUAGCUUAACCUUCGGGAGGGCGCUUACCACUUUGUGAUUCAUGACUGGGGUGAAGUCGUAACAAGGUAACCGUAGGGGAACCUGCGGUUGGAUCACCU